AUUGAACGCUGGCGGCAGGCUUAACACAUGCAAGUCGAGCGGAGAUGAGGUGCUUGCACCUUAUCUUAGCGGCGGACGGGUGAGUAAUGCUUAGGAAUCUGCCUAUUAGUGGGGGACAACAUUCCGAAAGGAAUGCUAAUACCGCAUACGUCCUACGGGAGAAAGCAGGGGAUCUUCGGACCUUGCGCUAAUAGAUGAGCCUAAGUCGGAUUAGCUAGUUGGUGGGGUAAAGGCCUUCCAAGGCGACGAUCUGUAGCGGGUCUGAGAGGAUGAUCCGCCACACUGGGACUGAGACACGGCCCAGACUCCUACGGGAGGCAGCAGUGGGGAAUAUUGGACAAUGGGGGAGACCCUGAUCCAGCCAUGCCGCGUGUGUGAAGAAGGCCUUAUGGUUGUAAAGCACUUUAAGCGAGGAGGAGGCUACUGAGACUAAUACUCUUGGAUAGUGGACGUUACUCGCAGAAUAAGCACCGGCUAACUCUGUGCCAGCCGCCGCAGUAACAC
rnacentral:rRNA from 1 species